AGGAAAAGAAAAGAGAGGAGUUCGUCGAUUAUUGGCGAUAAUUUAAUAGAGGUUAAUAAGAAUUCUCGGAUAUCCUGGAGGAUUUAUACAAGAAGAGUCGAGAGGAAAGAGCGAAGAAAACAAGUAUAGAAGAAGAUCUGUCGUUCGUUAGAAAGAAAGAUCGGAUUUCUUUCUGAUUACGGUUACGAUAUCGACGCGAAGAAAUAAGAGUAAGAUAAUUUCGAUCAAUUCUGGACAACUGACUCAAUGUUCUGAGUGGGCCUCUUGUUGAUUAUACGCGCUAAUGGAUAGUAAUCGAUCUAUCAUCGACUUUCGUUAGUUGGAUAGAUGUUGCCGAGAUUGUUUGUUAUAUCUGUUAGAUUUGAUGAAUAAGACGAAGGAACGAACGAAGAAGAAAAACGGAACAAAGAGAGAAACGUAUUAUUAGCGAGGGAACUGAAAUUAAUUGGAUUACAGGAAUGAUUAGUUAACCGAAUUAUAUCGUAUUUCUAAAUAUUCUUAUCGAUAUUUGUUAAUCGAAGAGAGUGAUGAAUUAAUAUUAAGGCCUAACUAAGGAUUUAAGUUUGAUAACGAUCCUCUCAAGUGUCGUCGAUUACGAGAUAGAGAUUCGGUGAUAAUUCGUUGAGAAGGUGAUUCAUAGAUGUACUUAGCGCAAAGAUAACAGCCUUGAAACUUUUCCACGCGGAUCGGAAGACCAAGCCGAGCGAGCUAGGCAAGAUGCUCUAUGCCCGACAGCGUGACUACAGCUAAAAGGUCGUGAUCGAUCGACUUACUUCGAUGGCCUAAAAGAACUUUAAACGUGCAAGGUCAUUAUGCAUAGCGAUAAAACGGGAACGUUAUAAGGCACAGACAAAUUGGUCGGUUCGUUUGACUGCUAAAACCGACACUGACCGUGUCACUUGAAAUAACGAACAGCAAACAAACUUUCAAAUCCAUUCCACAAUCUCUGAAAGAGAAUUUAUUAAAGACAGGACACUGUUCGUAACAGGUCAGAUGAUGCGAUAGCAGAAUAUCCGACGAUUUGCACUAUGUCGUGUCAAGGAUACUCGAAUGAUCAGGAACUUAUUGGCAUUAGCGAAAUGUGCCGCGUUGAUAGCGAGAUCUCUCUCGAGUUUUCACAGAAUUUCCAUGAGACUUCAAAGGCAUCGUCGUGUUUGGCAGAGCAACGAUAACGGAGGAUCGUUUUGACGAGGUCCAGAUCUAUUUCAUUUCGAGAGUCUAAAGUAACAACUUAUCGGACUGAUACGAUCAACAAAAAACCGUAAAAACGUAUCGUUCACUUCCACAUGGUUCUAAGCAGUGUGCAUUUUAAAUCCUCAUCCGCUCAACGAAAAGCGAAGCCUCCUCGAGCUUUUUUAAUACAUUCAGCUCACCAAAAAACACCGUAAAACUCCGUGUUCAUCAAAUGACGCAGCUCGCUAAAUGAGAUUACCGAAGCAAAUUGUUGUGCUUCGAUCGAACGGUCCAAAGAUCUGCUACUUGCUCUCGAUGCGAGAGGUGGCUCGAAUUGCGAUCGAGACUACCCCUGACCCCUCUGUAGCCAAGGGACAAAAGCUGCCGUGGCCGACGCUCGAUGAGUCCUAGUGAAGAUAAGGAUCCUCGAGAACCCUCGAUCGUUUCCCUGGAACGGCUGAAGAAGCUCCGGUUGGCACCUAUUUGAGAGCGGUCGGGUGAUGCGCGGGAGCAGCUCUGAGCUCCUGCUGGAGGCGAGCUGCGUCCAGUGUCAGAGCGAUCAUCACGCCGACCAGCACACCAGCACCAGGCAUCACCAACAGCAUCAGGUGAACGAGAAACACGACUUCCAGGAGCAGGAGCUACGUCGUCGCAAGCUGUUGGAGCUCGGGUUCGGCGCUUCGCGGCGCCGACCGCCACGGCGUACCUGCCGUCAGCGGUUCAAUUUUUACGCAACGUCGGCGUUGGCCUUCGUCGCGACAUCCGGUGGCGCGGCCUUGCUAUUCUUGGUGCCACUUUACGUCGAUCCGGCGAUCAGCACUCUGGCCGCCGAUUUCUCGCCGGAUCCGGUCAUCUGCACCACCUCCAGACGGGAGGAGUUGGCCGGAUUGUUCAAUUGUACUUGGAGUUCUUGCCGCGAGGGUUGUACAAGCGACGUUUACAGAUGUACGCAUAUAUACGUCACCUACACACCAUGGAGCAACACGAGCAUGAAGAACGACACCGGGGGUAGAGGCAACUCGACCGGCAUCACGCACACCUCGACCACUUCCGUGCCGACUCCCGGCGAUGUGGAGGCGGUGCUUCUGGUGAACAUCAAAGGGUGCGGCUAUCCGCCGAUCGUCGACUGCGAGAACUUCACCCGCAAAAUGGGCUACGAAGGCGCGAAAUUUCCCUGCCAUUACAGCCGUGUGAACGGCAGCAUAGUGAUGGCGAACUAUAACCGCGAAGCGCAGGUCACCACCAUCAUACACUUCUUCGCGGCGCCUUUCGUAGUGACUCUCGCGACCAGCGUCGCUCUGUGUGUGAUGCACUGUGACUGCAGGUGCAGCCCACCCCCACGCCAUUCAUCGCGAGGAAUCAGAAGAGGCAGGGGCAACGAUCUCAGCGAUCACUCGAUAAGCAAUCGCGUGGAUCGACGGGGUCACCCAACGCACUGCGAGUGCGGCGAAGUGACCAGGCCUUUAUGACGACGUGAGGAAACGGCCGAGAGUGCCCUGGCCACGUCGCAAUCUGACUUUUAGGCCUUGUCCCACUCACUUCCACACGUCCCGCUCUCGGCCGUUUCAACCCUCUCGAAAAUCCUCCCUUUCCAUCUAUCCAACUCAUCGCACCUUGUACGUAACACACCUGAUCCUAUCCUUCCACUAGCAUUCCACACGACCUAUAUAUACACGUAUAUAUGUACAAAACGACAGUGUACAAGCACCGUGCAAGAAGCGGAGCGAGCCAACAGGUAUAGAGAGAGAAAAAGGAAACGAUCUCUCGAAAGUGGACGAGGAAUUUUUAUUUUUAAUAUUAGAAGUAGUUUUAGGAAG
rnacentral:misc_RNA from 1 species